GACGAACGCUGGCGGCGUGCCUAAUACAUGCCAGUAGAACGCUGAAGGAGGAGCUUGCUUCUCUGGAUGAGUUGCGAACGGGUGAGUAACGCGUAGGUAACCUGCCUGGUAGCGGGGGAUAACUAUUGGAAACGAUAGCUAAUACCGCAUAAUAGUAGAUGUUGCAUGACAUUUGCCUAAAAGGUGCAAUUGCAUCACUACCAGAUGGACCUGCGUUGUAUUAGCUAGUUGGUGGGGUAACGGCUCACCAAGGCGACGAUACAUAGCCGACCUGAGAGGGUGAUCGGCCACACUGGGACUGAGACACGGCCCAGACUCCUACGGGAGGCAGCAGUAGGGAAUCUUCGGCAAUGGACGGAAGUCUGACCGAGCAACGCCGCGUGAGUGAAGAAGGGUUUCGGAUCGUAAAGCUCUGUUGUAAGAGAAGAACGAGUGUGAGAGUGGAAAGUUCACACUGUGACGGUAUCUUACCAGAAAGGGACGGCUAACUACGUG
rnacentral:rRNA from 1 species